UUAUGUUACCUAUAAAAUAAGUUUUAGUAGUGCAGAUAUUAUUAGUUACAUAAAAAAAAAUUGUAUAUUUGUUGAAUGUUUGCAUAAUUAAUGCCAUGUAGCACAAUAAAUUAUAAGAAUAUAGUUCAAAGAUGUUUAUUUUAUAAAUAAACUAAUGAUGUUAGUUUUUGUCAAAUUUAGAGACGAAGAUGCUCGCCUACUUAGGUUUAGGCCGGGUUUAGGCGAGGAUCUGGAAAGGCCUAACGCAAGAAACGCAGCUACGUAUGCGCAGGGUAUUUGAGUGCUGCAGCUGCUGCCUAGUCGCGGUCGGGGAACUUCGGCAGUCCUCGGUACUCCCGCUCCGUGGUCGGAAGCGGAAGUGGCAGCAGAAGCAGCCCAGUGGACGACGCAGAAGACUGCCACGCUGACUCAACACCUCACGAGCUACACCGUCAACAAGCUGCCCGUUGCCUAACGCCCCGUCGAUGACAUCGGAAGAAGUUGGACUUAUCCUCUGGUGAGCCUUGUCGACUGCAUAUUGCUAGAGUUACUGAAGUAGACUGGUUGCUGAUAGUUGCAGAAAUCACGCAGUAGUUAAGAUACUGCGGCUGUAAGAAGUAGCGAGUGUCACUCUUUACUAAAGAAGAGCGCUUCAAGCAUUUAAGUAGAGGUCAUGAGGGCAGGUGGUUGUAGUGAGGUUCGCAAAGUGCAGCCAAGCUAUCAAUAACAAACACUUCCGACUCAACAUUGUUCCUCGCAGGAAGUACAUUGUUUGUAUCCAGUCUUUGUGUAGAGUCCCAGACAGCAAGUUGAAGUUGUGAGAGCGUAGAUACAUUUGUAGUUUUGAGACUUCAAGGCAUAACGAGUGUUGCUAAACCAAAGGGAGGAGCUGUGUGAAGGCUUUGAGUGUGGCAACUUGUGUCACUGGUCACCAAGUUGCAGAAAUUUGCGAGUGGCGUGCUGAAUCCGCUACUCUCAGUAUCCACCGCUGCCAGCCGAGGCCGUCGUCAGCGAGUUCGCUGCCGGGAGAUGAGUUCCCGUUGCGGACAACCUGCUGCAGAAGUCGUCCCCUGCGACGGACGAGGGUUGAGCUGUGUGUGGUGCCCCCGAGGAGCAGCCCGUUGGGACUUCACUUCACUAUUACCAGGUUGACGGAGGGCGAACUGGAUGCGGAUGCAGCCUACCUGCCCCCCUGUGACGUAAAACCUGGUUCUGUCUGAACGUGCCGCCAAAAAAUACCAACGGCCGGAACGCCAACUCUUCAGGCCGAGAUCAAACCCACCCAGAAGGCGAAGAGGACAGAAAUUCAGUAGAAAUCUUUGGCUUUGUUAGUUGGAAUUAUGUUAACCUGAUCACACACUUAUCAAGAGCAAGUUGGUUAAAGAUUUAAUUCUCACACUUGAUUUAAAAUUAUGUACUUUUUAACUACCACAUUGAAUCUAUUACUGCCAAUUAUAAUAGCAUACUUGCACUUAUCACAUACAUUUCUUAUUUUGUCUCUAAUACAGAUUCAAUCAUGUGUUUUUACUAAGCCUGUGCAAAUAUCAGUUUUUUUAGUUCGAAUCGAAUUCAAAUACGAAUACCAAAUUAUUCUCGAAUACGAAUAUUGAGUUCGAAUAAUUGGAAUGAGAAUUGUAAUCCCAUAAAACAUGUUAUAUCACAUCACAUUACAAUAUGAUAACAGGUACAUAUUUACUGAUACAAUAUAUGUAGAAUCAAAAAACAAAAAACUGACAGUAAUUAAAAUUUUAAGGUUCUCCAUUUUUAUAAUUAGUUCGUAUUAAAAAGAGUCUUGUCACAUCACUGCAUAUUAGCUAAUUUAAAUUUUUGUGCAGAAACACAAGCUGCUCUACAUUUUCGGGGAGUAGACUCUCUCUUCUACACGUCACAAUGUUGCCAGCUGUUGAGAAAAGUCUCUCACUGCACACUUGUGUGGCAGGUAUAGGCAAGUACUUUCUUGCUACCACAGCUGUGUUUCGGAAACAAGUGCGCCCCUUCUCUGACCAGAAACUGAAAGGAUUUUCAUUCUUUGGGAUUAAGGGUGCUGCCAGAUAGUAUUAGUUUACUUCUCCUUGGAUAGUUUCUUCGUAGCUUGCAAGAAUAGACUGAGCUGCUGUUGAAGGCUUCAAGUAGGCCCACAGAGAUGACUUCUUAAUAGGCAUUUCACUUGUAGCCUCACUUGUCUCAGUUAUAGUUUCAGCUACUGUGUUCAGCUUACACAGCUUACAUACCUCCCUGCACAAAUUUUCAACCCAUAUUUUUUUUUUAAUUUUCAUCCUCAAUUAGUGAAUCUUUGAACCGUGGAUCUACCAUCAUAGAAAACACACUUACUUCACAAUCUUGGUACACCAUGUAAUGUGAUCGCAAGCUAAGUAAGUUCUUGGCAAGAGUUUUUUUUUUUUUGACGCACGGGACAGGAUAAUUGCCUGAGCUGUCACUACGCGAGGAAUUUGGGAAGGGUGGGAAGGGUAUGAAGGAGGGGGGGGGGGGGGGGGGGUUUGCCGCCUGCAUCCGGUCGUUUACUGUGUAUUAUCCUAUUGAAAAACAUUGACGUAGCAUGUUAGGCUUUUGGGGACUUUGCUGUGAGUAUGCGGCCAGAUGUUUUCCACAUGGUCUGUACAAUUUACUUUCUCUUCGCCGUCACGUUCGGAACGAAAUUACAGUGCCGACAAACCAUGUUUCACCCUCUAAUCUGAAAACUGUCAACUAUAACGUCCCGGUUGUGUGGAUUUUACAGACACAUAUUUAUCUUUAUCAGUAUGCUGACAGUUCAAAUCUAUUUUAAAUGACCUGGCGACAUUCUUCUACAUAAAAUACGUUAGUUAUCGCUCCGAAUUACUGUGUUCAAACGGGCUUUACGUGGCCAGAUGUAGUGAUCCGGCUCAGCCUUUUUCGUAAAUGACUGAAUAUUCGUUUUUUCGAAGUGUUAGUAUUCGAAAUCGAAUCGAAUACGAAUAAUAAACUAUUCGUUUUGAUAUUCGAAAAUUAGAAUAUUCGCACAGGCCUAGUUUUUACAUUUCCUUGGUAAGAUCAAGGUGAGAGUUAAUUUCAUGAUCUGGAACAAUUGAAGUAAUACUAACAAAAUGGACAAAAUACAAACAAAAUUAAUUCAGACUAUAAAUAAAAAAAAAAUUAUUUUUUCUAUAUAACAAUAUCCACUUUGGACAAAACAUAUUUGAAAAAUUGGUUGUCUGUAAAGUCGGUUUAUGGACGAUAGUUUAACGUGACAAUGUCAUAACAAAGCAUUGAUGAAAUGAUUGAUCCAGAAGAAAAGGAAAUAUCAUAUUCGGCCUGAGACUGAGCCGUAAUAGGUUUUUGCAACCAAACCGUUUAGGCAUUAAAAAUAUUAUAUUCUUCGAGGAAGAAUUUUUUUUAAAAAUUUUUCUAUCUUUUGUAUGAUAAUAUCUACCUAUGCAUACUUUUAUGAAUAACAUUGAAUCAUUUUUAUUGAAUUAUCACUAUUUUGUAUUGAUACAAAGGAGUGAAAUGAAAUGUACAAUUUAAUUAAUAAAUUUACUUUUAUUAAUUUUCAUUUAUUAAUUCAAAUAUAUUUAUUACUUUUGAAAUGUUGCGUGUGCCGUAUUUAUUUUUACAAGUACAAAAGAAAAUUUGCAGCGGCCGAGAUUCAAACCAAUAACCUUUGGAUUGGAAGUCAUCCAUGCUAACCACAUGGCCACGAGACCAUAUUGAGAGUAAGUUUUUCAGAUGGUAUAAAUUAAUAAUAUUCCACGCACAAAAUUUGUUUGAAUUUCUUUUAACUAGCAUAUUCUCUGUUGGACUCGAAAUAUUUACACGCUCGUGGGCUCAUAACUAUAAUACGGUGUGUGAUUUAGUUGAUCAAAUAAUAACUCAUGACAAAUAAUUACCAAUGUCAAACUAAAGCGUGAAAACUAUCAUACCAGCAAUAAAUAUUUAGUUACACAGCUAAAACAAUACUCAUACAACACUGUUUAAAUAUACUGAUUUACACUAGUAAUUAAAAUAAUACGUACUUGUAAGAGCGCCAUUUCCUUGCGAAUAUGCUCCCGUGGCGCGGUGCACAACAAUAACCCAAUAACCUCAAACCAGUACGCCGCCACGUGCCGGCCGAGUUCUCUGUACCGUCCGCAACAUACCAGAGAUGCCACGCAUGCGUAAACAGGACACAUCCGUAGUGGGACAUCCGUAGUGGGACAUCCGUAGUGCGACAAUUUUUCGUGCGUGCAGCCAGCGUUCAUCGAUAUAUUAGACGUCACAUCAAAAAUGUCCAAAUUACAAUAUUGAUGUAGUACAAACUACACUAGGCUCUUAAGGAGCAAGAAGGAACAUGCAAAGUUUGUAAGUGACUCUUUGAAACACAAGUCACAUUGCAAUUAUUUUAUUGAAAAUACAGGCAUCUAGUCCCUGCUUUUAAUAUACGCCAUCAUCCUUCAUUGUUUAUUAAAUAGAUCAGUAAAUAAGUUUUGACAUAUCAGGGGAAAAGAUGCAAUGUUCGUUUUUACUUGGUUAUUAUUAUCUAUAUUAGAUAUUAAAACUGUAGAUAUUAAUUCUAAAAAUUAACAUAACUCCAAUGUAUCUGUUCAUAUUCUCAUGUUUACUGUCCAAUAGUUAUCUGCUGUAGUUGCCGUUGUAAAAGUAUAUGUAUUUUAUUUUCUUGCAGUGCAUUGUAUUUCUUAUUUUCUUAAUUAUGUACUUAAUGUUUUACUUUUUCUUGUAUGUUUUUUCUGCCAACGUUUUUAUUGUUUUGUUUUUGUAUUUCGUGUUCUGUGGCAGUUGUUUUUCAUUUUUGUCCUUCUUUGUGUUGUAUAUGUAUGGAGUCUGUCACCUUGGCUCACUGCUGUAAGUAGGCUUGUUAUAAUAGUUUAAUAAAAAAAAAAUAAGUAUUGCAGAUGUGAUAUUUGCAAGUAUGUUGAUCAUAUUGUCUUGUAAUUAUAUUAUUUUAGCAUAUGCCAUGUAUAUGCUUCACACCACUUGUGUAUUGAUGUCACAAAUUGCUGAAAGGUAACACAUACACACACCCGUCUACAGUAUUGUUUGUGCGGGUAUGUUUUUUGUAUGUCCAAAACUGGCUUGUAAAAAUUAGUGCUAAGGUUGUUGUAUUUCGUUCAGCCCUCUCCAUCUUCAAAGCUGUGAUAUAUGUAUGGGAAGACUAAGAAGAAAUUAUUAUUGUAUAUAACUGACUAUGUAUAUAGCAUUCAGAUGUAACGAAUUGUUAAUACAGUAGAGUCCCGAAAACUCGGCACUCGAUAACCCGGCAGUCCGGAUAACUCGGCCACACCCUGACUAGGGGAAAAUCCCAGCGCGCAGACUCGUUCAAUGUCCCGCAUUCCUUUGUCUCGCGCCACACCCCCACUCCUCCCCCAUAUGUCUGGUGCCGGCGCGCGCUCAACCAUUCAGUAUUCAGUCUACCUGUAGUCUUCUGUCUUAUUAUGUAAAUUAUUGUUCACUGUGUAUUCAUUAUUGUUCAUUUUCAUGUAACAAAGUGUCUAUGCCUUCAUGAAGUACGUACUUUUACUUUGUUUAAAGAUACUAUUUGGCCAGUUAAUUCUUUGUUGUAUUUUCAAGUAAACAAUAAACAAUACAUGCAAGUAGAGUACCGUAUUUUCUGAUGAAGCAUUCAUACUUAUUCUUUUUGAACACCAUUGCCGAUAACUCUGCAUAUUCACAAUCUCGACCAACCUUCGGUCCACAUUAGGCCGAGUUUUCGGGACUCUAGUUUAUUACAUUAAAAUUUUCUUUGUAACGAUGGGGUGGGAGGAGUUUUUGUUCAAAUAUUGCAUGAAGAAUCGUAGUGCCUUUUAGCAUUGUUUUGUAGUUGUAUUGUAAGCUAGUGCUCCAGUAGAAGUGUGGCAAAGAAGAGUGUAAUUUGCAAUUGCAAAUAAAUAUCAUCUCAAAAUUGGCAAUGUAAUAACAAUAAGUAACGCUUUACAGAACCAUGAAGCUGGUUAACAUAACUUACUCGAAUCAACACUGUACCUAAUAUACAAUAUUGCAUGUCAUUCAAGAAUGUACUCCACAAACUCAAAUACCUACAUGUGAUUUGUUUAUUCAAAAUUAGUGGUAUUUUGAGCAGUUUGCAGAGUUAUUCCUGAUGCAAGUGGAUCUGCUAAUGAAUGAUAACUGAUAAGGUACAUAUAUGUAGUUUCUAGUUUUUAAUGACAGAUUAUCAUUACUCUUCAUAUGAUUAUUUUUCACCCUAUAUUCAUUUUUGGACUUCUUUGAAUUUUUUAGUAUUUUGUUUGUGUUAAAGCAUUUUAACUAUGUUAGCUGUCAAUUGGAGAG